rnacentral:rRNA from 1 species
GAUGAACGCUGGCGGCGUGCUUAACACAUGCAAGUCGAACGGAAAGGCCCUGCUUUUGUGUGGUGCUCGAGUGGCGAACGGGUGAUUAACACGUGAGUAACCUGCCCUUGACUUUGGGUUAACUUCAGGAAACUUGGUCUAAUACCGGAUAGGAGCUCCUGCUGCAUGGUGGGGGUUGGAAAGUUUCGGCGGUUGGGGCUGUACUCGCGGCUUAUCAGCUUGUUGGUGGGGUAGUGGCUUACCAAGGAUUUGACGGGUAGCCGGCCUGGGAGGGUGACCGGCCACAGUGGGACAGAGGAAGGACCCAGAGGGAAACGGGGGGCAGGAGUGGGAAACAGAGCAAAAAAGGCGGAGGGCUGAUGGAGGAACGCCGGGUGGGGAAUGACGGCCUUAGGGUUGGAAACCGCUUUGGCCUGUAACGAAGCGUAAGUAAGGGAAAUGAGUAAAGAAGCACCGGUAAACUAGGU